GAUGAACGCUGGCGGCGUGCCUAAUACAUGCAAGUCGAACGAAACUUCUUUAUCACCGAGUGCUUGCACUCACCGAUAAAGAGUUGAGUGGCGAACGGGUGAGUAACACGUGGGCAACCUGCCCAAAAGAGGGGGAUAACACUUGGAAACAGGUGCUAAUACCGCAUAACCAUAGUUACCGCAUGGUAACUAUGUAAAAGGUGGCUAUACUACCGCUUUUGGAUGGGCCCGCGGCGCAUUAGCUAGUUGGUAGGGUAAAGGCUUACCAAGGCAAUGAUGCGUAGCCGAAUUGAGAGGUUGAUCGGCCACAUUGGUACUGGGACACGGCCCAAACUCCUACGGGAGGCAGCAGUAGGGAAUCUUCCACAAUGGGCGAAAGCCUGCUGGAGCAACGCCGCGUGGGUGAAGAAGGUCUUCGGAUCGUAAAACCCUGUUGUUAGAGAAGAAAGUGCGUGAGAGUAACUGUUCACGUUUCGACGGUAUCUAACCAGAAAGCCACGGCUAACUACGUG
rnacentral:rRNA from 1 species